CCUAUAUAGGAGCGAACGAGGGGAAUUGAAACAUCUUAGUACCCUCAGGAAAAGAAAUCAAUAGAGAUUGCGUCAGUAGCGGCGAGCGAAAGCGCAAGAGGGCAAACCCAGUGCUUGCACUGGGGGUUGUAGGACUGCAAUGUGCAAGAGCUGAGUUUAGCAGAACAUUCUGGAAAGUAUAGCCAUAGAGGGUGAUAGUCCCGUAUGCGAAAAACAAAGCUUAGCUAGCAGUAUCCUGAGUAGGGCGGGACACGAGGAAUCCUGUCUGAAUCCGGGUCGACCACGAUCCAACCCUAAAUACUAAUACCAGAUCGAUAGUGCACAAGUACCGUGAGGGAAAGGUGAAAAGAACUGAGGUGAUCAGAGUGAAAUAGAACCUGAAACCAUUUGCUUACAAUCAUUCAGAGCACUAUGUAGCAAUACAGUGUGAUGGACUGCCUUUUGCAUAAUGAGCCUGCGAGUUGUGGUGUCUGGCAAGGUUAAGCAAACGCGAAGCCGUAGCGAAAGCGAGUCUGAAUAGGGCGCUUAGUCAGAUGCUGCAGACCCGAAACGAAGUGAUCUAUCCAUGAGCAAGUUGAAGCUAGUGUAAGAACUAGUGGAGGACUGAACCCAUAGGCGUUGAAAAGCCCCGGGAUGACUUGUGGAUAGGGGUGAAAGGCCAAUCAAACUUCGUGAUAGCUGGUUCUCUCCGAAAUAUAUUUAGGUAUAGCGUUGUGUCGUAAUAUAAGGGGGUAGAGCACUGAAUGGGCUAGGGCAUACACCAAUGUACCAAACCCUAUCAAACUCCGAAUACCUUAUAUGUAAUCACAGCAGUCAGGCGGCGAGUGAUAAAAUCCGUCGUCAAGAGGGAAACAACCCAGACUACCAGCUAAGGUCCCUAAAUCUUACUUAAGUGGAAAACGAUGUGAAGUUACUUAAACAACCAGGAGGUUGGCUUAGAAGCAGCCAUCCUUUAAAGAAAGCGUAAUAGCUCACUGGUCUAGUGAUUUUGCGCGGAAAAUAUAACGGGGCUAAAGUAAGUACCGAAGCUGUAGACUUGCACACAACUUAGAUUAUUUAAGUUUAGAAUAUGAGAAACUAAGUUAUAUGUUUAGUUAUAUUUUUACUGAUUUUUAUAGAGUAAAGAUAGAAAUAAAACUUAGUAAAAUCAGUAAAAAUAUUCUUAGGCUAAAGUUAAGUAGUUUAAGUUGUGUGCAAGUGGUAGGAGAGCGUUCUAUUUGCGUCGAAGGUAUACCGGUAAGGAGUGCUGGAGCGAAUAGAAGUGAGCAUGCAGGCAUGAGUAGCGAUAAUUAAUGUGAGAAUCAUUAACGCCGUAAACCCAAGGUUUCCUACGCGAUGCUCGUCAUCGUAGGGUUAGUCGGGUCCUAAGUCGAGUCCGAAAGGGGUAGACGAUGGCAAAUUGGUUAAUAUUCCAAUACCAACAUUAGUGUGCGAUGGAAGGACGCUUAGGGCUAAGGGGGCUAGCGGAUGGAAGUGCUAGUCUAAGGUUGUAGGAGGUUAUACAGGCAAAUCCGUAUAACAAUACUCCGAGAACUGAAAGGCUUUUUGAAGUCUUCGGAUGGAUAGAAGAACCCCUGAUGCCGUCGAGCCAAGAAAAGUUUCUAAGUUUAGCUAAUGUUGCCCGUACCGUAAACCGACACAGGUGGGUGGGAUGAGUAUUCUAAGGCGCGUGGAAGAACUCUCUUUAAGGAACUCUGCAAAAUAGCACCGUAUCUUCGGUAUAAGGUGUGGUUAGCUUCGUACUAGGAUUUACUCCGAAAGCGAAGAAACUUACAACAAAGAGUCCCUCCCGACUGUUUACCAAAAACACAGCACUCUGCUAACUCGUAAGAGGAUGUAUAGGGUGUGACGCCUGCCCGGUGCUCGAAGGUUAAUUGAUGGGGUUAGCAUUAGCGAAGCUCUUGAUCGAAGCCCGAGUAAACGGCGGCCGUAACUAUAACGGUCCUAAGGUAGCGAAAUUCCUUGUCGGUUAAAUACCGACCUGCAUGAAUGGCGUAACGAGAUGGGAGCUGUCUCAAAGAGGGAUCCAGUGAAAUUGUAGUGGAGGUGAAAAUUCCUCCUACCCGCGGCAAGACGGAAAGACCCCGUGGACCUUUACUACAGCUUGACACUGCUACUUGGAUAAGAAUGUGCAGGAUAGGUGGGAGGCUUUGAGUAUAUGACGCCAGUUGUAUAUGAGCCAUUGUUGAGAUACCACUCUUUCUUAUUUGGGUAGCUAACCAGCUUGAGUUAUCCUCAAGUGGGACAAUGUCUGGUGGGUAGUUUGACUGGGGCGGUCGCCUCCCAAAUAAUAACGGAGGCUUACAAAGGUUGGCUCAGAACGGUUGGAAAUCGUUCGUAGAGUAUAAAGGUAUAAGCCAGCUUAACUGCAAGACAUACAAGUCAAGCAGAGACGAAAGUCGGUCUUAGUGAUCCGGUGGUUCUGUGUGGAAGGGCCAUCGCUCAAAGGAUAAAAGGUACCCCGGGGAUAACAGGCUGAUCUCCCCCAAGAGCUCACAUCGACGGGGAGGUUUGGCACCUCGAUGUCGGCUCAUCGCAUCCUGGGGCUGGAGCAGGUCCCAAGGGUAUGGCUGUUCGCCAUUUAAAGCGGUACGCGAGCUGGGUUCAGAACGUCGUGAGACAGUUCGGUCCCUAUCUGCCGUGGGCGUAAGAAGAUUGAAGAGAUUUGACCCUAGUACGAGAGGACCGGGUUGAACAAACCACUGGUGUAGCUGUUGUUCUGCCAAGAGCAUCGCAGCGUAGCUAAGUUUGGAAAGGAUAAACGCUGAAAGCAUCUAAGCGUGAAGCCAACUCUAAGAUGAAUCUUCUCUAAGCUCUCUAGAAGACUACUAGUUUGAUAGGCUGGGUGUGUAAUGGAUGAAAGUCCUUUAGCUGACCAGUACUAAUAGAGCGUUUGGCUUAUCUUUAAUAAAGCAU
rnacentral:rRNA from 1 species